AAGGCCCACCGGCCGACGUGGCUAUGCAAUUGUUCCCUCGUUCUGUUGUUCCCUUCCGUUCGAGCGAGGCGACGUCAUUGUUCCCGUCCGUUUGAGCGAAGCAGGAGUCCGCGGUCUCGCCCGGCUCUAGCGCUUGGCGCCUGAGCCAUGGUCAAGGAGAAGGAGAGGCUGACGGCGGGGAGAUCUGCGUGCGGGGUCAUCUCAACCGGAAAGCUCCCUCGCUCUCUCCGAAAGUGAUGUCUGCAGGGAGGAAACGUGGGAUGGCUUCCGAGAAGUCGUCAAAACUGUUGGGAAAGGAACGCCACGGCAAACCAUCUCCAGGCUUUUCAAGGCACGAAUUAAUUGUGCUAGAUUUUUGCCGUCCUCGUUUCCAUGGCUGCUUUCCUCGGUUAUUUCCAUGAGUUAUGUUUUUCUGACUAGUCUUAUGAAAAUACUAAAAUAUUGGCAACUACUA